UGGAGUCAAAGUCUUCUUUUCUUGGGAAGAAAGAAAGGAGUGAGGAGAUGGAGAAUCCAAUAGAUANAGAGGAACAUUUUCUGUGUAGUAGGUGUUCCAGUGAGAAUUUUUCAGAAAGAAUCAGACCAGAUGUGGUUUGGGACUCACAAAGGAAACAGGACAUUUACAGAUUCUGCCCUACUAGGGCCGGGUCCUUCCAUUGCUGCUACACGGAUCUCAUAUUCGAGGUGAAGCGAGCUGUAACCCUAACCUACCAGUUUGACUCCUGGGAAAAGCACCAGAGCGCCAUGGAUGCCCAGGACCUGAUGAUUGCCGGCCCUUUGCUUGACAUUCAGGCAGACCCCAAAGAGACCGUAGCAGCCGUUCACUUCCCCCACUUCCUGUGCCUGGCAGGUGAAGAUCGUUCCCAAGUUCUAAUUGCUCAUUUUGUCGAAGAAGGGAGAAGCCAGAUACUGCAGGCCCAUUCCAUGCUGUGUUGA
rnacentral:lncRNA from 1 species